rnacentral:rRNA from 1 species
AACGAACGCUGGCGGCAUGCCUAACACAUGCAAGUCGAACGAAACCUUCGGGUCUAGUGGCGCACGGGUGCGUAACGCGUGGGAACCUGCCCUUAGGUUCGGAAUAACUCCCCGAAAGGGGUGCUAAUACCGGAUAAUGUCUUCGGACCAAAGAUUUAUCGCCUUUGGAUGGGCCCGCGUUGGAUUAGCUAGUUGGUAGGGUAAAAGCCUACUAAGGCGACGAUCCAUAGCUGGUCUGAGAGAAUGAUCAGCCACACUGGGACUGAGACACGGCCCAGAAUCCUACGGGAUGGAGCAGUGGGGAAUAGUGGACAAUGGGCGAAGGCCUGAACCAGCAAUGCCGCGUGAGUGAUGAAGGCCUUAGGGUUGUAAAGCUCUUUUACCCGGGAUGAUAAUGACAGUACCGGGAGAAUAAGCUCCGGCUAACUCCGUG